rnacentral:lncRNA from 1 species
CCGGAAUUUUGCAGGUGGCUACCUGCACCGCUCUGACCAAUCAGAGGAAGGCGCUUCCGACUUCGCAGCGCCAGGGAGGGGGUGCUUCCCUUUCGGCUUAAGGUCCUCCGACGGCACGGGCGGCGGCGGCGGCGACCGGACGAGCUUCAAGCCAAGGCGGCGACAUCCUCAGGCGUCCCAGUGGGCGCUCGGGCGGCUUCUCAGGGCCUUAUAUGGACCCUUAACGAUGACCAGCAAUGGCGUUAGUGGGUCUGGCAGUGGCAGUGGCAGUGGAAGUAGCAGCAGCAGCAAAGGCCGAGGUGUUCUGUGGAGGCUCCAGGAAACCUUGCAUCUGCUGGACAUUUGGGGAGAGCAGAAUAUGCAGGAUCAGCUCCGCAACACGUACCAGAAUCUGGAAUGCUUCGAGUACAUUGCCCAGGAGAUGGCCAGGAGGGGUUACCGUCGCACUGCCGUGGAGUGCCGCUCAAAAGCCAAAGCACUGAGGCUGGCAUACAAGCGCGUGAUCGAUCACAAUGCCAAAGCGGGGAGCAAUCAGAUGACCUGCCCUUUUUAUGACCAGCUGCACCAGAUCCUCCGGGGGGACGCCAGUGCAAAAUCCAAGUGGGUUCCACAGCGCCUCAGUUUCCAAGAUGGAUCUCAGCAAGAAGCCGCCCUGGCACCUCCACAGACAGUAUCGGAAGAUGUUAUGUCGCACGAUUUCCCCGUAAUUGAUGAUGAUGGACAAUAUAUCAAACAGGAGGACACCGAAACUACAGUGGGAACUGAUAACGGCAUUGAGGAAAUGAGAGAGAUGGGAGGUGAGAACAUACCUCAAGGGAAGGAGGAAAGCAGCAAUGAGAGCUGGGGAAGAAAUCUGGAUUCUCAAAGACCCCAAGUAAGUCCUGAAGAACAGGACUCUUUCAGCUGCGUAGAUCCUGUUGAGGCCAAUUCUCCUUUAUCACCAUCUCCUACUCCCAUGGUGAGGUCCAGGAAGAAAAAGAAGACAGAUGUCAUGUUUGAGCAGUUCCUGCAGCAGUCCAGAGAACAGCACAAGGAGCUUCUCCUCGAAAUGGCCCGUGACAGAGAGGUGGCGCUGGACUUCCUGAAGAGCUUCAAGGAGGAUGCCGCAGAACACCGGGAGGAGAGCGAGCACCUUACGGAGACAAUGUACACCCAGAAUGAGACUUUGAAGGGACUGGUUGCUAAUUUGAACAGCUUGAUUGAUGCCUUUGUGAACCAAUCCCAGAACAGGCAUUGUUCUAAUACCUCCCACAGCACCGCAAUGCAAUGAGGGAACCAGGCCGAACAACAAGAGUUGCAGCCUCUGGCAUCUGCUGCACUGCUGGCGUGGCAAUAAUUUCACUUAUCCAGAGUUCCACAGCCUGGCCACACAUUUCCUGAAGACCACCAUAGUGACACCUAUGAGUGACCACUGCGGAGAGCUGUGUUUUUAUACAGAUUUUUUGGAAAGUGUUCAAGAAUAUUUUUUUAAGCAAAAUAAAGAGUUAUUUAAAAAAAAAGGGGGGGGAACA